CAGUUGGAGCUGAGUUUUCAGCCUCAUCAAUGGUGUGAUUCAUUUUGAAUUAUGUGAAAGCUUUUUGAAAACUGAAGGCGCAUAUUUGGAAUUUCUAUGUAAAGGACAAGUAACAAGACACUAUAACUGUGAUGUACUGAAUGAACUAUAACAGAUCAAUUAUCGCCAUUGAACAUCAUGGAUUUGAAUCAAAUUCAGUGUGUAAUGUGUCAUGUAUUAAUGGAAGAGAAUAAAUCAUUUUUAAAAUA